GAGGUACUGGAAGGUCCUCAGGCCGAAAGGGGCUCUGCCCGCCCGAGGAUGGGCCGGCGGCCGAUUAGGUAGUUGGUGGGGUAACGGCCCACCAAGCCGAAGAUCGGUACGGGCCAUGAGAGUGGGAGCCCGGAGAUGGACACUGAGACACGGGUCCAGGCCCUACGGGGCGCAGCAGGCGCGAAACCUCCGCAAUGCGGGCAACCGCGACGGGGGGACCCCCAGUGCCGUGGUACAACCACGGCUUUUCCGGAGUGUAAGAAGCUCCGGGAAUAAGGGCUGGGCAAGGCCGGUGGCAGCCGCCGCGGUAAUACCGGCGGCCCGAGUGGUGGCCACUAUUAUUGGGCCUAAAGCGUCCGUAGCCGGGCUUGUAAGUCCCUGGCGAAAUCCCACGGCUCAACCGUGGGGCUUGCUGGGGAUACUGCAAGCCUUGGGACCGGGAGAGGCCGGGGGUACUCCUGGGGUAGGGGUGAAAUCCUAUAAUCCCAGGAGGACCGCCAGUGGCGAAGGCGCCCGGCUGGAACGGGUCCGACGGUGAGGGACGAAGGCCAGGGGAGCAAACCGGAUUAGAUACCCGGGUAGUCCUGGCUGUAAAGGAUGCGGGCUAGGUGUUGCUUGGACCUCGAGUCCAAGCAGUGCCGCAGGGAAGCCGU
rnacentral:rRNA from 1 species